GACGAACGCUGGCGGCGUGCUUAACACAUGCAAGUCGAACGGAAAGGCCCUGCUUUUGUGGGGUGCUCGAGUGGCGAACGGGUGAGUAACACGUGAGUAACCUGCCCUUGACUUUGGGAUAACUUCAGGAAACUGGGGCUAAUACCGGAUAGGAGCUCCUGCUGCAUGGUGGGGGUUGGAAAGUUUCGGCGGUUGGGGAUGGACCCGCGGCUUAUCAGCUUGUUGGUGGGGUAGUGGCUUACCAAGGCUUUGACGGGUAGCCGGCCUGAGAGGGUGACCGGCCACAUUGGGACUGAGAUACGGCCCAGACUCCUACGGGAGGCAGCAGUGGGGAAUAUUGCACAAUGGGCGGAAGCCUGAUGCAGCAACGCCGCGUGCGGGAUGACGGCCUUCGGGUUGUAAACCGCUUUCGCCUGUGACGAAGCGUGAGUGACGGUAAUGGGUAAAGAAGCACCGGCUAACUACGU
rnacentral:rRNA from 1 species